CUUUAGAGUGUAAAGAGUUAAUACGUACAACAAGACAGGACAAAGAUGUCGUCAAUGGCCGGUUUAAUAUCAGAGAUAAUCAAAGAAAGAAGUACUUCUAUGUGUACAUCCAAAAUCUGACCAGAGCUGACUCUGGAGUGUACUGGUGUGGAGCUGGUGCAGAAUACACCAAAAUACAGCUCUCUGUGGAUGAAAAGUAUUUAAAAGUUAAGAAAAGAAGCAAUAGAGAAGAGGACAAAUCAAACCAGCCAACAGUUGGGUACAAGAAUGGUCCUGCACAAGGACCGAUGAUUGGUGGUAUUGUGGCUGCAGCUGUGUUGUUACUGGUAGCUGUAAUUCUGCUAAUAAUUUUCAGAAGGAAAAUCUUCAGGAGAGGAG
rnacentral:lncRNA from 1 species